UUAAAGACACUAUGGUACUAUGUGUUGGUGAUCAAUGCGAUGCUGUGCUUGCUUAGGUGAAGGUUUAAUUGCACCAUUUAUUUGUUUACACACACCAAACACAUAUUCAAUCACCUAUAAAUGCUAUGAACCAGUUUUUAACAAUCGGCUUGUAAUUUUUUUUUUUCUCAUAUGAGGACUUGUUUUGGGAGUUCUGGAAGCACUAGCCCUCGC
rnacentral:lncRNA from 1 species